AUUGGCACUCCUGUCUCCAGAGCAGAAUAUAAAGGUCAGACUUUUACAUCAGCAGGCAACAGUGCAUAUGGAUUUUAUUUGGAAGCCACUGACAGCACACAUGAGCCUGGUCAUUCUUGGAAUUUUGUGUCGAGAUUUUCAUAACAGAGGGAUGGUGUCUCCAACUGCCCUUGUGGAGUGAGUUUUUCAGUUUAGAUCCCAAUGUCUGGUGGAAGAGAAGCUGUUCUGUAACAAUCAAAAGACAAGGUUGAGAGAAUUUACUGCAGGAGAGUUUAUUCUUUUGACUUGUGAGAGAAAUCCUGGAGUCUGAAGAAAGUCGCUCUGGAGCCAAACAGGAGGACAAGUCUACAGGCUGCCCUGGUCACCUAACUAGAUGAAAAGAAGGAUACAUCAAAAUACCUCUCUGUAUCUGUUGCAUGACAGUGCUUGGAGCUGAAUGGAGAAUCAAAAAGGAGGAAGGAGGUC